AUGAGAAGAGCUUGCUCUUCGAUUCAGCGGCGGACGGGUGAGUAAUGCCUAGGAAUCUGCCUGGUAGUGGGGGACAACGUUUCGAAAGGAACGCUAAUACCGCAUACGUCCUACGGGAGAAAGCAGGGGACCUUCGGGCCUUGCGCUAUCAGAUGAGCCUAGGUCGGAUUAGCUAGUUGGUGAGGUAAUGGCUCACCAAGGCGACGAUCCGUAACUGGUCUGAGAGGAUGAUCAGUCACACUGGAACUGAGACACGGUCCAGACUCCUACGGGAGGCAGCAGUGGGGAAUAUUGGACAAUGGGCGAAAGCCUGAUCCAGCCAUGCCGCGUGUGUGAAGAAGGUCUUCGGAUU
rnacentral:rRNA from 1 species